rnacentral:rRNA from 1 species
UGCAACUCGACUACAUGAAGCUGGAAUCGCUAGUAAUCGCAGAUCAGAAUGCUGCGGUGAAUACGUUCCCGGGUCUUGUACACACCGCCCGUCACACCAUGGGAGUCGGAUAUGCCCGAAGCCAGUGACCCAACCGUAAGGAGGGAGCUGUCGAAGGUGGAGCCGAUAACUGGGGUGAAGUCGUAACAAGGUACC